CCUUCGGGAACCGUGAGACAGGUGCUGCAUGGCUGUCGUCAGCUCGUGUUGUGAAAUGUUGGGUUAAGUCCCGCAACGAGCGCAAACCCCUUUAUCCCUUUGUUGCCAGCGGUCCGGCCGGGAACUCAAAGGAGACUGCCAGUGAUAAACUGGAGGAAGGUGGGGAUGACGUCAAGUCAUCAUGGCCCUUACGACCAGGGCUACACACGUGCUACAAUGGGCGGUACAAAGGGUAGCGAUGCCGCGAGGUGAAGCCAAUCCCAAAAAGCCGUCCACAGUUCGGAUUGGAGUCUGCAACUCGACUCCAUGAAGCCGGAAUCGCUAGUAAUCGUGGAUCAGCAUGCCACGGUCGAAUACGUUCCCGGGCCUU
rnacentral:rRNA from 1 species